UCCCUGGUGGUCCAGUGGCUAUCACUCUGCAUUCCCAAUGCAGGGGGCAGAGUUCAAUCCCUGGCCAGGGAA
rnacentral:tRNA from 1 species